UACGAGAGGCCCAAACGUUAUUCGGAAUUACUGGGCUUAAAGAGUUCGUAGGCGGCGCAGAAAGUAGGGUGUGAAAGCCCUCGGCCCAACCGAGGAAUUGCGCUCUAAACUACUGUGCUCGAGGAAUCUAGAGGUGAGCGGAACUGAUGGUGGAGCGGUGAAAUGCGUUGAUAUCAUCAGGAGCACCGGAGGCGAAGGCGGCUCACUGGGGAUUUUCUGACGCUGAGGAACGAAAGCCAGGGGAGCGAACGGG
rnacentral:rRNA from 1 species